UGAGGAAUAUUGCGCAAUGCCCGAAAGGGUGACGCAGCGACGCCGCGUGGAGGAUGAAGGCCCUAUGGGUCGUAAACUCCUUUUGCGAGGGAAGAACAGAGCGCUACAGGCGUUCUUGACGGUACCUCGAGAAAAAGCAUCGGCUAACUACGUGCCAGCAGCCGCGGUAAUACGUAGGAUGCGAGCGUUGUCCGGAUUCACUGGGUGUAAAGGGAGCGCAGGCGGGUCGGUAAGUCAUUGGUGAAAUUCCCGGGCUCAACCCGGGGACUGCCACUGAUACUGCCGAUCUUGAGUGUGGAAGAGGUUGGUGGAAUUCAUGGUGUAGCGGUGAAAUGCGUAGAUAUCAUGAAGAACACCGAUGGCGAAGGCAGCCAACUGGUCCAUUACUGACGCUCAUGCUCGAAAGCGUGGGGAUCAAACAGGAUUAGAUACCCUGGUAGUCCACGCCCUAAACGAUGCAUACUUGGUGUGAGCCAUUCAGUUGGUUCGUGCCGGAGCUAACGCGUUAAGUAUGCCGCCUGGGGAGUACGGUCGCAAGGCUG
rnacentral:rRNA from 1 species